UAACUGCACCACAUUUUGUUGAAUAAUGGACUGUCUUCAUCAUCUGAGCCAGUUUGGACCCUUCCAGCUCUUUCCUCUAGACCAGUUCACCUGGAAUGUGUUGAGCAGUGUUCCUAAGGAUGUUCUGUGUUCAUGGCUGAUCUGUCAGAUGACUGGAGGAGCUCAGGUGUCCGGAGUGGAUCCCUCCCAGAACCAGCCCAACACAACCACUGCCACCACCCAGUCAAACUACUGCUAUGGACGAGAUCAUCAUGAUUUCAUGGACUGGACAGAGAUAUCCCAGAUGGAUUCUAACAACAACGGUCUAUGGCAGAAUUAAGUCCCCUGUCAUCAGGAUGAGCAGCCUAUGGGUAUUGAUGUUGUGGACAACAGUCAGUCAGUAUAUACUAGCAAGACAACUGCCUGGCCUAGCUAAUUCUGCGCUACUUCCGAGACUCAUGUCCGGUCUAGACAAUCGCAGCCAUUACAAUGACAAAAGUCUGUCUCCGCCCAACUUCGCCCAUUCUCCCAGCAGAAUGAAGCCAAAUGUUAGCCCUCCAGCCAGACAGCAAUGUCCAGCAGGUACAUGGCAGCCACAAACUAAGAGCAGUGUUGGUAACGUGAGGAAAAGAAGACAUUACCAGCAUUAAAUCUCAAAGAGAAGGAGGAUGUAGAUGUCUUUCCUCAAAAUGUAGGGACAAUGUGAAAAUACUUAGUCCCUCAAAGACAUUGGUGUGUAGAUUACAGCAUAAGGAGCUAUGGAAGAAACAUUUAUUACUUUUUCAAAUAGAUGAAUGAACAUAUAGGCAUGUCUGUUUGACUGGAAACUGAGUUUCCUUAUUAAUAAUGUUUACACCACUGUAAUCAUUGACAAAUUAGAAUUUGUUAAGAAUAGUUUAUAUUUCAUAGCGUAUUGUUCAUAUAAACCACUUGCUACAUAAAUGUCCUGUGUCAACAUGAACAAAUGGUAAUACACAGUUAAAGCUUUUGUAAAUUGUUAAUAAGACCAGGGUUAUUAUUAUUAAAUCAUUAAUGUUUUGUUUGUUUUCCUAGUUUUUUCAUGGUAACUGUUGUAUUCAUAAAUGCAAGUUCAUGUACCCUUAUUGGAAAAUGUUACUACUAUUUGGAAAAUAUUUACAUUGGCCAUCCAUGGCUCCCAAUAUACAUUGGUAUUAAAAUGUGACAAAACCUGAAUAUCUUUUACAAAUACUGUUUUUGUUCCAUUUAGUGUUCAACAUCAGUAACCAGGUCUAACCAUUCAGCUGUUUUGACCAUUGCUACUAUAGGUUUAUAAGCAACAUUUAGUUGUUUUGUCUUGUAAGAGGUUAAGCCUUAUUUAAUCAGAAUAGUAACUAUAGAAAAACAGAACAAAGAAAAUAAUUAAUCAGUCUUAGUUUUCUGAUGCAAUGCAUGUUUAUGCCCUUCAAUAAAAUGUUAUAUUUGCUGAAUGAACCAUGACAAGCAGUAGAGAAAAUACAAUACAUGUACAGUACACAUUUAAACAAGUAAAUAAGCAAAACCUUCAAUUUAAAAGGGUGGAUGAUAACAGACUUGAACAUACGCUUCCUUAAUACCGU